rnacentral:tRNA from 1 species
UGCGGGGUAGAAUAAUGGUAAUUCGUGCGGUUCUGGUCCGUGAAAUCGGGGUUCGAGUCCCUGCCCCGCAGCCU